UAUCUCCAGAAAGCAUAAUUAUUAUUAUUCCAGUUUCACAUUC
rnacentral:snRNA from 1 species